rnacentral:tmRNA from 1 species
GGGGCCGAUUGGUUUCGACGAGGGCGGUGCACUCGGAGGAGCGUGUCCGGCAACCGUGCUGGCCGGUAAAACCGUACGGAAACUUCAGAUGCCAACGACGAGCCUGCGCUCGCUCUGGCCGCCUGAAAAGCUCACAUAGAGUAAUUCAGGCCGUUCGUGGUGGUGAGCCCGUCCUAGCUCCCAUCCCGGGCGUCAAACGAUAGGACUAGCCCCCUGAUGGCGCCUCGGCGUCAGGGGGCGAAGCAAAGCUGAGGCUGGUGCCGGGUAGGCCUGUCUACGAGCCGACCCAGGGACGAGAUUAAAUUCGUGAGACUACGCACGUAGCGCCUCCCAGGAAUCCUCUUUCGGACGUGGGUUCGAUUCCCACCGGCUCCAUCG